rnacentral:rRNA from 1 species
GACGAACGCUGGCGGCGUGCUUAACACAUGCAAGUCGAACGGAAAGGCCCUGCGUUUGUGGGGUGCUCGAGUGGCGAACGGGUGAGUAACACGUGAGUAACCUGCCCUUGACUUUGGGAUAACUUCAGGGAACUGGGGCUAAUAUCGGAUAGGAGCUCCUGCUGCAUGGUGGGGGUUGGAAAGUUUCGGCGGUUGGGGAUGGACUCGCGGCUUAUCAGCUUGUUGGUGGGGUAGUGGCUUACCAAGGCUUUGACGGGGAGCCGGCCUGAGAGGGUGACCGGCCACAUUGGGACUGAGAUACGGGCCAGACUCCUACGGGAGGCAGCAGUGGGGAAUAUUGCACAAUGGGCGGAAGCCUGAUGCAGCAACGCCGCGUGCGGGAUGACGGCCUUCGGGUUGUAAACCGCUUUCGCCUGUGACGAAGCGUGAGUGACGGUAAUGGGUAAAGAAGCACCGGCUAACUACGUG